GAUGAACGCUAGCGGCAGGCCUAACACAUGCAAGUCGAGGGGCAGCACAGAAACAGCAAUGUUUUGGUGGCGACCGGCGGACGGGUGCGUAACGCGUAUGCAACCUACCUUUAACAGUGGGAUAACGGAGAGAAAUUUCCACUAAUACCCCAUAACAUCGAUCAAGGCAUCUUGAUUGGUUGAAAACUCCGGUGGUUAAAGAUGGGCAUGCGUUGUAUUAGGUAGUUGGUGAGGUAAUGGCUAACCAAGCCUACGAUACAUAGGGGGACUGAGAGGUUAGCCCCCCAGACUGGUACUAAGACACGGACCAGACUCCUACGGGAGGCAGCAGUGAGGAAUAUUGGUCAAUGGGGGCAACCCUGAACCAGCCAUGCCGCGUGCAGGAAGACGGCUCUAUGAGUUGUAAACUGCUUUUAAACAGGGAUAAAGCACAGUAUGUAUACUGUGUUGAAGGUACUGUAAGAAUAAGGAUCGGCUAACUCCGUGCCAGCCGCCGCUGUAA
rnacentral:rRNA from 1 species